rnacentral:rRNA from 1 species
UACAGAGGGUGCAAGCGUUAUUCGGAAUUACUGGGCGUAAAGCGCGCGUAGGUGGACUAGUAAGUCAGUUGUGAAAGCCCUGGGCUCAACCUAGGAAUUGCUUCUGAUACUGCUAAUCUAGAGUCUGAUAGAGGGAAGGGGAAUUCCAGGUGUAGCAGUGAAAUGCGUAGAUAUCUGGAGGAACAUCAGUGGCGAAGGCGCCUUCCUGGAUCAAGACUGACGCUGAGGUGCGAAAGCGUGGGUAGCGAACAGG